AAGCAACUUCUCUCUGAGGUUGGCCGGUAUCCGACGUGCUAUGGAGGCUCUGACAUCCUCAGACAGUACCUCCCUUAAUUACCUCACCCACGCUGGGAGGAUGGUGUUGAGUGGACUGUCCGAGCUCAACCAGCAGAUCAACCACAUCAAUUUCACGGAUGUAUUUUAUGAAUUCGUUCUACUGAGCCUUCUUGACGGAAAAACAUCUCUUCCAACAUCUAGGCCUGGUACCUUCUAUUAUCUGCUCAUGGAAGUGAUGAUGAGGAUUCGCCCUCCUGGAGGAGCCUGGACAGAGUCUGCUGGGAACUUCUACCUCCUCAUUAAGGAUCAGAUGAAGGCGUGGUUGGACUCCAUCUUCAACCUCGAUGAGUCCAUCUAUGAAAGCCCACAGAGGCUCUCGUGGCAGGUGAUGGAGAUUCUAGAAAUGCAGGUUGACUUCCUCCUGUCCAGCCUGGAUUAAGGGUCCCAAACUGAGCUGAGGAUCCCAAACACAAAAUAAAGUAUUUUGCA
ensembl:lncRNA